AAACUAUUAACCUAUAAAGAAAAUUAUGUAGUGUAGUGUCAAAAAAUGACACAACGAAACGAAUUUGUUAUCUUAUGUAAAACAUGCAGUAUAAAUCAGAAUGAAGUCAACAGGGCACGCAAAAAUGGCAUUUUGCUCCAGCACCUCGGAACAUCGCAAGUUUGGUUAUAAUGCAGGUCUUCUUUUGUGUGUACAUAUUCAUUGUAACAGUAAUACUGUUGCUGGCCUUGCUCAGUAGUCGAAAAUCGCGGAAAAAAGACCACAAUGAAGAGGAGAAAAAUAACGAGGUGGACAGUGGUCAGUAGUUGCGGAACUGGUCCAGCUACUUCGCGUACAAUGCCGAGCAGCUUCCCCGGAACAUCUGGUGCUCGCUCUCCACAAGAUUAUCCCGCGUAUCAAAUUCAAUAAAAAACAUUAAUCAUA